UAGAAUUGUCUAAUUAUGGCUGCCUCCACAAAAUAGAAACCGUUGCACUAUAUUCUGAUUAAGUUUGACAUUACCAUACCUAUGCCAGUUAAAUUUAUAUAAUCUACGUUGUUAAGGACAAUCUUAAGAUAACCAGCAAAGACUAAGGGAACAUUACACCGGCAUAUCAUCUCGCAUUCAAAGAACACGACGGUCUCAACUCAGAAUGUCGGUGCAGGUGAACGUAAACACGACACAACCACAAAUCCCGCCUCUCAAGCGAAGUGGUUCCUCUGACAGUUCAGACACUGACCACAACAAGCAGACGACGCCAAAUCCAAGCUUCCACAACAUUAAAGUUUACUACUGCCAUCAGUGCGGCCAGAACUUUGUCACGCCUAACGAUCUGAAACGCCACAGCUGCACCCAUAACGUUCAAGAGCAACAAAUAAAUGAGGAAGUGAAUUCUACGGAGGAAAACACUGACUCGAGUUCAUUGCACAUGUGUGCAGAUUGUGGACGCUGUUUCCCUGAUAAACAGGAAUUACGCCACCAUCGCCAGAUGCAGAAGAAAAAUGCCAAGACCAAUCGUGUGGUUUGUAAAGACGGUGCCGAGACGAUUAUUUAUCAUGCCAAAGUUGCUCACAUACCCUACGCAAGCAAGGAGGACCUGACUGUGCUCAACCAGCAGAAUACUGGCCCGAUUGAAACAGAUUCAGAAACUGAGUGAAAUAAACUGACAUUCGAUUUGAUGAUUAUUUGCCCAGUAGUACCUCUAGUCUUUUGGGUAAUACACUUCUAUGUUACGUCAAACAGACCAUAUUUUAAGGACAUCCCCAAGGUAUUUUCUGAUGGUUAUCAUUUUUCACUGGGUGUACUUUUAGAGUAUUGUAUCGUUAUUGGAACAAUCAAUAAGUAUUUUACUUGGUAAAUUCAUGUAUGAAUUAGCACCUCACAUUCUUCAUGAAGGUACACAAUUGCAGUGUCUCCAAAGCUAGUAUGUUGGGUGGGCAACCCUGCCUAUACAGGACCAUUUACUGGCAUUAGCCAUCAGCUCACCAGACAAUAAAUUUUGUGCCACCCUAUCAUAAUCAGCUUAUCCUACCAUAAAUUUGGUGCCACCCUAUCAUAAUCAGCUCACCUAACAAUAGAUUUGGUGCCACCCUAUCAUAAUCAGCUCACCUGACCAUAAAUCUGGUGCCACCCUAUCAUAAUCAGCUCACCCGACCAUAAAUCUGGUGCCACCCUAUCAUAAUUGGCUCACCCGACCAUAAAUUUGGUGCCACCCUAUCAUAAUCAGCUCACCCGACCAUAAAUUUGGUGCCACCCUAUCAUAAUCGGCUCACCCGACCAUAAAUUUGGUGCCACCCUAUCAUAAUCAGCUCACCUAACUAUAGAUUUGGUGCCACCCUAUCAUAAUCAGCUCACCCGACCAUAAAUCUGGUGCCACCCUAUCAUAAUCAGCUCACCCGACCAUAACUUUGGUGCCACCCUAUCAUAAUCAGCUCACCCGACCAUAAAUCUGGUGCCACCCUAUCAUAAUCAGCUCACCCGACCAUAAAUUUGGUGCCACCCUAUCAUAAUCAGCUCACCCGACCAUAAAUUUGGUGCCACCCUAUCAUCAUCAGCUAAAGGUUUGCCACUCUGAAAAUGUGGUUUUUCAACCAGUUCAUACAAAUAUUGUGCAGAGAAGACUGAAUAAAAGUUACUCCCUGCUCCAAGCUCAAUCCAUUUUUGAUGAAGUUGAGCUUAGCAUAUAUCAGGUCUCUUUAAACAGUUCAUCAUGUUUGUAGAAUAUGGUAGUAUAAAAAAUAUAUAAGCUUGCCUUUAUAUAUUGAUGAAAUUUAUGAAAAGAAAUCAUGGGUCUUGGAUAUUUCUGUAUGCUUCAAUGCUGAAUAUAUAUAUAUUCAAUAAUCCUUGCUAACAUUCAAGAUAAAUAACUUAUGUGAGAGUUUUCACUACUAAUUGUAAAGAGUACAUGUAGCCUUUGGCAUGAAAGAUAUUCUAGAUCCCUAAGUUAUUAUUUGUUUUCUAGUACAAUUUUUUUAGAAGGCCUUAUAGUUUAGCAGCUUUUGCAGAAGUUAGGGGGUUGGUUAACGUUUUUUGGGCCAUGCCAGGGGGAGGUAGGCAAAAACUAAGGUGUAUGGCCCAAUGCCCUGUGGAAGGAUUGUUUCAGUGAAAGUUAGUCAAUCUUGGUACAUGUAGGUUAUACAUGUUAUCUCUAAUGCAAGUAUUUUCAGAUUCCACAUUAUUUCUGUUUUUGAACAUUUAGACUAUUAUUAAAGGGGCCAACCCUAAAACUGGACAUUACAUGUACAUUUUGUCUCGUUUAUUUCAUGUGUGCCACCGAAGGUCACAAUUUUUAAAAGAAUCAAUAUUCUGAGAGCUAAGUGGUUUAUUAUGUGGGCAUUGAAAUGAUAAAUGAUACACAGCUAUCAGAUCAGAAAUAUACACAACUGUAUGUACAAAUGUACCUGUAUUUAUUGUUAGACAGUAUCGAUAUUUGAUGUUUAUAUAACUAAGCCAGACAACCUGAGAAAAAGUUUGUCCCUUCAAAAAUUGGGCUUUUUACAGUCUUUUGGAUUCACUCAAAUGUACCAGACUAUUUCCUGUACCUUCAAUAAUAGGCCUGGCCAAGCACAAUGACCGCUGUUGUAUUGGAAAAACAUUUGAAUCAUCCUUCAUAUUGCUGUGUUGCACGGAAAGAGAUACUGUUGUAUUUACGUAUAGUUUGACGGGUAGGUGUCCUCCGGGGUCUCUGGUUUCCUCCUACUUACCUUACAAUUGCCCAACAUUGUUUACAGAGCUAUGAAUGUCCUAGUUUACGCUCAGCUCUCAACUUUAACAUUUUUUAUCUGACACCUGGAAACUUAGAGUCUUGCACUAGCACUGUGUUUGAGUUUCAUUCCACUGGUAAGCUCAAUGGUCCUGGCCGUUUCAUUUCACUAAUGAUAUCACUGUGUCUCUCGAUAACUACUCUACUGGGGGGGGGGAGCCGUCAUCUCAGCUGUAUUGCUUUUGCUGUUUUAGUGAUCAAACAUUGUAGUGUGGCAUUUAGAUAGCAUUUCUUUAGGAGAAUGUGUAUACUUUUAUUUUCAAUAAAAUAUUUCAAUAUUUUGUA